UUCCAGACUCCUACGGGAGGCAGCAGUGGGGAAUAUUGCACAAUGGGGGGAACCCUGAUGCAGCAACGCCGCGUGGGUGAAGAAGUACUUCGGUAUGUAAAGCCCUGUCAGCAGGGAAGAAAAUGACGGUACCUGAAGAAGAAGCCCCGGCUAACUACGUGCCAGCAGCCGCGGUAAUACGUAGGGGGCAAGCGUUAUCCGGAUUUACUGGGUGUAAAGGGGGCGCAGACGGCGAUGCAAGCCAGGAGUGAAAGCCCGGGGCCCAACCCCGGGACUGCUCUUGGAACUGCGUGGCUGGAGUGCAGGAGGGGCAGGCGGAAUUCCUGGUGUAGCGGUGAAAUGUGUAGAUAUCAGGAGGAACACCGGUGGCGAAGGCGGCCUGCUGGACUGCAACUGACGUUGAGGCCCGAAAGCGUGGGGAGCAAACAGGAUUAGAUACCCGUGUACCA
rnacentral:rRNA from 1 species